CUUGCCUGGUGCUGGAAGAUUAAAUGAUGGGGUGCAAGCUCUUGACUGAAGUCCCAGUAAACGGCGGCCGUAACUAUAACGGUCCUAAGGUAGCGAAAUUCCUUGUCGGGUAAGUUCCGACCUGCACGAAUGG
rnacentral:ncRNA from 1 species